rnacentral:lncRNA from 1 species
ACCUAACAAGUCAUAAAAGUAAGAAUAUCCUCAAUAUAUAAAGAAUUAUAUAUUCUCGAAACUCCAUAAUAAGAAAACAAAUAAUCCAAUUAAAUAUGGGAAAAAACCCCACAUCUGAACAGGUGCUGCAAUAAAGAAGAUAUACAGAGGCCAAGUAAACACAUGCAAAGAUUCUUGACAUCAUAUCGUCACUGACUAGUUGCCCCAAGGAACUCAAGGAGGAGGAACUUGAACCCCAGAGACGUGGAUCGGCCCAAGGUCACACCACUGGUAGCAGAUGAGAAAGGACUCCGGUCAGUCUUCUUUUUAUAUUCCAGGAUUCUUUAAACGUUUCAAACCUCAUGAAUAAAAUGCUCUGGGAACAUACUAUCCGUGUUAUUACAACUACUCCUACAGCUCAUUCUAAGUUUUCACGUGGUAGUACCAGCCAAGAAAGGAAGAGUCUUCUUGGAAAAUCUAAUUGAGAAGCUCUGGAAAGCAAACCUUUAGCACCGGGUCCUUUUUCCUCUGUUGACACCUCAUCUAAAGCACUGAUAUUUGACUCCACAGCUGAGGACUCUGUAGUUCUGGACAAUAUAAUCUUCCCCAAUGUUAUGGACUGAAUGCUUGUGCCCCUGCCUCCCCGCCCCUCGCAAAAUUCAUAUGUUGAAGCCCUAACCUCUACUGUGAAUGUAUUUGGAGUAAGGAAGUAAUUAUGGUUAAAUGAGGUCAUAAGGGUGAGGCCCUGAUCUGAUAGGUUUAGUGUCCUUAUAAGAAGAGACACCAGAAAGCGUGGAAAAUGAAAAGCCAUGUGAGGACAUAAUGAGAAGUCAUGAUGACAAGGGAUCCCAGAAAUUCUCAAGGGUAUAUAAAAUUAUUAAUAUCUUGCUUUCACUCAUUGUUUAUGUGUGUAGUCCUAUUUAUUCUUCACAAGCUUGUCGUCAGGCAGAGCUAGCCUUAUUAAUCCCAUUUUACAGAUGACAUGGAAUGUGGCUAAGCCACAGUUAGACUCCCGGCUCAAUGUUCUUUCACUCCAGCUCGUGCCAGCUGGCUCAGAGGUGCUUUAGAGCUCUUUCCACUGUUGAGUCAGCUUACAGUCAGAGCCCUAGGAAGCCUAGCACAGGUUCAAGGAUAAGACACCAGACUCAGAAAGCUACCUCUUAACAGAUAAGUAGAAUUACCUGUUAUUGCUCAGGAGAACCAUUAGCUAUCAAUAAAUAACGUUGAAAAGAAAAAAAAUUAAGAUUAAAGCUGGAGUUGUGCUCAUUUUCAAUCAUUUUAACUAUUAAUUUAGAGUGGUAGUGAUUUUCACCUUUUAACAAAAGCUUCUUUCUAUACCACAUUUAAGCUUUGACCAUCUCUGGCACAAAGAAAUAAAUCGUGGCCGCUCCCUGUCCUGGAACACACCAUCUAGAGCUCCUCCGGGGAGAAAGAGCUCAGCCACCACUUGAAGUUUUCAGUACAGCCGCCCUUCUGAUUAAUUUGGAGCAGUGGAGCGUUUAAAGAAACAGGUUCUAUCUGGAGGAUUAAUGUUCCACGUCCCAUUGAGAAGUCCUUUUUAUGGGCCCUGGUGUUAUUUUUAAAAUAUCCGAGCUCUGAAUGUCACUCCAUUAAUAAAGAUUUCAGUAGCUUAGCAAUUAGCACCAACAUGACCUCACCAUUAGAGCAGGAUACACUUUUAGGCUCAUCUUGCUACUGUUCAAGUCAGUGACCAAAAACUUCAAAACCUGAAGGAAUGUUAGGUUGUUUAGCAUAAUUGAUUUGGGGCUCAUACUCAAAAUAUUUAUUUUAUCCAUCCAUAAUGUAGUAAAAUGUGUCUCUUUCCUAUCAGGGAGCUAAAAAUAGACAGUGUAGCCUCUCGAUAGCAGCAGUCACACCAUUCUCUCCUUUGGAUGGAGUCUGCAUUGUACUGGAAAUGGAGGCUGGUCUCUGAGCAUUCCUGCCCCUCCAGAUGGGCUGUCAAAGGCCCUUUACCCUGAAUUGUCUCCUUAUUUGGCCCUCGGAAGAGCCAACCUCUCCCAACUGGUCCUCAAAUGGUUUUUACAUUCAGAAAGAAUGGAAUAUUUAUCUGGUUAGAACAUACAUUUAUUCAAGUUAAAAUAGUAUUUUGAUUGUAGUAAUUUUUAUGUGCAGUCAUAGAAAAGGGAGAUUUUAAAUUCAUAAACAUCAAAAAUUAAUGGAUAGCAUUUUUAAAAUAAUUUUGAGGAAUUAUAAAUAACCUAAAUAUCCAGUAAUAGGAGGUUGAGCUAGAUAGACAGACAGAUAGACAGACAGACAGACAGAUAGACAGAUAGAUAGAUAGGCAGACAGGCAGAUUGAUUUCCAUUUAAUAAAGUACUCUGCAUCUAAUGAAAAUGAUACUGAAGCUUCUGGUUCUACAUAGCAGACUAGUCACAUAGAUGUCUACCUCCCCUUCCUCCAAAAUUCCUGUAAAAAUGACAAUCAAGAAAUACAGAAGAUAGCAAGCACGUAGCAGCACUAAAAAGGGACAGAGAGAGAGCCAUCAGCAGACCAGAAAUUUAUUAAAACCUCUAGAAGAUGACAAGUAGGUGAAUCAUACUGUCAGACAGAAUAAAAGCAAAGAAGCAAAUGUCCCAGCACUGAAGACACCUGGCUUCAAAUUGAAAGAAGAGAACGCUGAGCAGAAUGAAUGAGAAGGACCAAUACCUAGAAAUAUCCCUGUGAAAUUUUAUAACACACCAAAGAUAAAGAGAAUACCCUAGAAGCUUCCAGGGAAGGGCUGUGGAAGAUCCUUGAUGUCUGAUGCAUUCACGAGCUGAGUUCUUAUAGCCGUGAGAUUGCAUAGGGAAGCAGAGUCAUGCCUCAGAAAUAUUCAUUCAUGGACUAGCCACUUGUAAAAUUCGUCUUGACUCCAAUAUUCAUCCCCAUAUCGCACUAACAUCUGUCCUCACCAAUCACAUCAGUCUAUUUUGGUCAGUCUCUUACUAAAUUUUUAAUAAAUAUUUGAUU